rnacentral:rRNA from 1 species
CAGUAGCCGCGGUAAUACGUAUGUCACAAGCGUUAUCCGGAUUUAUUGGGCGUAAAGCGCGUCUAGGUGGUUAUGUAAGUCUGAUGUGAAAAUGCAGGGCUCAACUCUGUAUUGCGUUGGAAACUGUGUAACUAGAGUACUGGAGAGGUAAGCGGAACUACAAGUGUAGAGGUGAAAUUCGUAGAUAUUUGUAGGAAUGCCGAUGGGGAAGCCAGCUUACUGGACAGAUACUGACGCUGAAGCGCGAAAGCGUGGGUAGCAAACAGGAUUAGAUACCCCGGUAGUCCCUGUCUCUUAUACA